rnacentral:tRNA from 1 species
CCUUCCAUAGCUCAGCUGGUAGAGCAGAGGACUGUAGACCAAGAGCUUUGGACAUCCUUUGUCGCUGGUUCGAUUCUGGCUCAAAGGA